GCCUGGCAUGAAUACCUCCGGCGAUCUCCUUAUCGCACGAUAUAUUUCCCGAAAUGUCGCCGGAAAUAGAGACGACGAUCCGCCACUCCCGAGCUCUGGAAUCUCUCAAGGAAUCCUCAGCGAGGAGUCCUCCCUACAUGGUAGGAGGAGGGACCGGAGAUCGAGCCAACAUUGGUACGACCAGACGAGAUCAGGGCUCUCUAUUGCUCAACCUCGUCGCCCGUUAAGAAACUCGAUCCUAUCAUCCCAGUGAAGUUACUCGAGUAUGAUACAAUGCUUUGAACAGUAUGAUCGCUGCUUUAUAUUCUAUGACUACAUUCUGCCAGAAGAGUUGCCGCCACCAUCAAAGCAAACCUCUCCAAUUACUGUGAAACUCGAUCCUAUCAUCCCAGUGAAGUUACUCGAGUAUGAUACAAUGCUUUGAACAGUAUGAUCGCUGCUUUAUAUUCUAUGACUACAUUCUGCCAGAAGAGUUGCCGCCACCAUCAAAGCAAACCUCUCCAAUUACUGUGGCACAUCACCCUUAUAUUGUAAAUAGGACAGAGAAAGAGAGGGCAUUAUGUGAAGUUUCAAAGUCUAGAAAAUUAAAUCCUGAGAAAUAUUUGCUGUUCUCAUGGUCUUUCAAAAAUAUUGUAUAUUCCAAUGAACCAGUAAUUUUUGUAUUUGUCUCUUUAAAUUCAAAUUUAUAAAGUACCAAAGGAUGUUUUCCA